UCACCCCAGAGGGUCCACACCAGUUUCCCGUUACAAGUACCUUGGCAUCUCUCCCUUUCCUUUGCCAGGGAAAACACGGCUCUGCGUUACGCUGGGCUCUGUGGCCUUCGGAGUUACUAAGAACUUUCUGCAAAGCAUGGGGGAUUUACCCUUGAUAUAAGGAGGAGAUCUGCAGAAUGAUAAAGGGGAGGAAAUGGUCUUUAUGGAGAGGACGCCCUCUUCUCUUGGGUAACGGAAUCUCGAUCUGUUAAAAAGGCUCUGAGAGGAUGACAUCAUCAGACCUUCAGUUUUGCUUCUCAUGGACAAUUAAUGAACUGGCAUCUUCCUUGGCAUUUCCAACAGGAAGCCAAUGACCACAAGGAUCGGGAGAUGAAUCCCUCUCUCCAGGAGAGAAGAAAACAAGUUGGUGGCUCAGGGUCGUUAACAAAGGAAGCACUGGAGAAGCMCUUGACAGUUUUCAGACAAAGCAUGUAUUAUAACAUCCUUUUAAUCUAAUAGGGAAUUAUCUCCAAACCCAGC